UAAGAAGGGGGGUAGCGUUGCUCGGAAUCACUGGGCGUAAAGCGCACGUAGGCGGAUUACUAAGUCAGGGGUGAAAUCUUGGAGCCCAAUUCCAGAACUGCCUUUGAUACUGGCGACCUUGAGUCCGGGAGAGGUGAGUGGAACUGCGAGUAUAGAGGUGAAAUUCGUAGAUAUUCGCAAGAACACCAGUGGCGAAGGCGGCUCACUGGCCCGGUACUGACGCUGAGGUGCGAAAGCGUGGGGAGCAAACAGG
rnacentral:rRNA from 1 species